UGAUUGUCCUAGCCUUGUUGAAUUGGAGGUGACACUUCCAACUUGGUAAAUGACCAGAGAGAGAUAUAUCAUUGAGUGACUAAAGAAUGAGCACAUAUUUAGAGGAAAGAAGUGAAACGAGUACUAGAAUCAGAUCACAGAAGAUACUGUAAUUUUGUCCAGAACAAUUGUGAACUGCAAAUACUUCAGGGUAUCAAUUAUCUGUAAAUGGUUCAAUGUUGUAUUAAAAAAAUUUUCCAGAAUCUUUUUGAUGCAAUAUGUAUUGCGGCACAAUAAGAAUUUCCAUUUGAUUCUAGUACUCGUUUCACUUCUUUCC
rnacentral:misc_RNA from 1 species